GCCGAAAUAGCUCAGUUGGGAGAGCGUUAGGCAAUAGAUCGAAGGUCCCUGAUUCGAUCCAAGAUUUCGGCU
rnacentral:tRNA from 1 species